rnacentral:tRNA from 1 species
ACCGCGAUAGCUCAGCUGCUAGAGCAUCUGCCCGGUAUGCGGAGGGCUGCCUGUUCGAUUCCGGCUCGCGGCG